UUGUGUAAUAGUAUAAAAUAAAUUAUGGAGAACCUAAGUUUCUCAGAUAUUAAAAUUAAUUUUCACAA
rnacentral:tRNA from 1 species